UCCUACGGGAGGCAGCAGUGGGGAAUAUUGGACAAUGGGCGCAAGCCUGAUCCAGCAAUGCCGCGUGAGUGAUGAAGGCCUUAGGGUUGUAAAGCUCUUUCGGCGGGGACGAUGAUGACGGUACCCGCAGAAGAAGCCCCGGCUAACUUCGUGCCAGCAGCCGCGGUAAUACGAAGGGGGCAAGCGUUGUUCGGAAUUACUGGGCGUAAAGGGCGCGCAGGCGGCCGAUCAAGUCAGAUGUGAAAGCCCCGGGCUCAACCUGGGAAUAGCAUUUGGGACUGGUCGGCUAGAGUUCGGGAGAGGAGAGUGGAAUUCCCAGUGUAGAGGUGAAAUUCGUAGAUAUUGGGAAGAACACCGGUGGCGAAGGCGGCUCUCUGGACCGAUACUGACGCUGAGGCGCGAAAGCGUGGGGAGCAAACAGGAUUAGAUACCCUGGUAGUCCACGCCGUAAACGAUGUGUGCUAGACGUUGGGGAGCCUAGCUCUUCGGUGUCGCAGCUAACGCUUUAAGCACACCGCCUGGGGAGUACGGCCGCAAGGUUAAAACUCAAAGGAAUUGACGGGGGCCCGCACAAGCGGUGGAGCAUGUGGUUUAAUUCGACGCAACGCGCAGAACCUUACCAACCCUUGACAUGGGAAGUAUGGGCAGCAGAGAUGUUGUUCUUCAGUUCGGCUGGCUAGAACACAGGUGCUGCAUGGCUGUCGUCAGCUCGUGUCGUGAGAUGUUGGGUUAAGUCCCGCAACGAGCGCAACCCUUGCCUUUAGUUGCCAUCAUUUAGUUGGGCACUCUAGAGGGACUGCCGGUGAUAAGCCGGAGGAAGGUGGGGAUGACGUCAAGUCCUCAUGGCCCUUACGGGUAGGGCUACACACGUGCUACAAUGGUGGUGACAGUGGGCAGCGACACAGUGAUGUGAUGCUAAUCUCUAAAAGCCAUCUCAGUUCAGAUUGAACUCUGCAACUCGAGUUCAUGAAGUUGGAAUCGCUAGUAAUCGUAGAACAGCAUGCUACGGUGAAUACGUUCCCGGGCCUUGUACACACCGCGGACAUCAACCCCAGCUACCGCGAUCUGGCCGAGCACUAUGGCGUGGCGGUGGUGCCGGCGCGGGCACGCAAACCGCGCGACAAGGCCAAGGCCGAAGUCGGCGUGCAGGUGGUCGAGCGUUGGAUCCUCGCCGCACUGAGGAAUCGGCAGUUCUUCUCCCUGGAUGAACUCAACACGGCCAUCGCCGGGCUGCUGGAGCGGCUCAACCAACGCCCGUUCAAGAAGCUGCCGGGCUCCCGGCAGUCGGCCUUCGAAGCUCUGGAUCGUCCGGCGCUGCGCCCCCUACCGGAGCAACCCUACGUCUACGCCGAGUGGAAGAAGGCGCGGGUGCACAUCGACUACCACGUCGAGGUCGAUGGGCAUUACUACUCGGUGCCGUAUCAACUGGUGAAGAAGCAGCUGGAGGUGCGCCUGACGGCGCGCACCGUCGAGUUUUUCCACGCCAACCAGCGAGUGGCCAGCCACCUGCGCUCAAUGCACAAGGGCAGGCACAGCACGCAGGCCGAGCACAUGCCCAAGAGCCAUCGCGAGCAUGCCGAGUGGACGCCGCAACGGCUGAUCCGCUGGGCCGAGCAGACCGGGCCGAACACCGCCGGCGUGAUCCGGCACAUCCUCGAACGGCGCAUCCAUCCGCAGCAGGGCUACCGGGCCUGCCUGGGCAUCCUGCGCCUGGGUAAAACCCACGGUGAGGCGCGUCUGGAGUUGGCCUGCCGUCGCGCCAUCAGCCUCGGCACGUGCAGCUACAAGAGCCUCGAAUCGAUCCUGCGCCAGGGGCUGGAAAACCUGCCGCUAGCUCAAACCAACCUGCCGCUGCUGC
rnacentral:rRNA from 1 species